UACAGAGGGUGCGAGCGUUGUCCGGAAUCACUGGGCGUAAAGGGCGCGUAGGCGGCUUGAUAAGGUUGCGGUGAAAGCCCGGGGCUCAACCCCGGGUCGGCCGUGGCAACUGUCGAGCUGGAGCACUGUAGAGGCAGGUGGAAUUCCGGGUGUAGCGGUGGAAUGCGUAGAGAUCCGGAAGAACACCGGUGGCGAAGGCGGCCUGCUGGGCAGUCGGCUG
rnacentral:rRNA from 1 species